rnacentral:sRNA from 1 species
UUAUCUGUUAUGGGAUUCCACAAUACUC